UAAAGGUUUAAUCCUGGCCUUGCCAUCAACUGUUUCUCGACUUACACAUGCAAGUCUCAGCACACCCGUGAGAACGCCCUUUAACCUUCACCAGACCAAGGAGCCGGCAUCAGACGCAAUCCCGUCCAUAACGCCUAGUUUCACCACGCCCCCAAGGGUCAUCAGCAGUGAUAAAUCUUGAGCAUUAGCGAUAGCCUGACUCAGUCAGAGAAAAGAGAGCCGGCUAACCCGGUGCCAGCCCGCCGCGGCUACACCGUGGGACUCAAGUUGAUCGCUAUCGGCGUUAAGCGUGAUUAAAGUCCACUUAGAUUAGGGUUAAAUUAAUACUUAGUAGUUUAAAGCUUGUCAUUAAGAGAACCACAAACGAAAGUUACCCUAACCAAUACACUUGAAUACACGACAGCCGGGGAACAAACUAGGAUCAGAUACCCUAUUAUGCCCAGCCGUAAACAAUUAACUUACAUCUAUAAACGCCAGGGAAUUACGAGCUACGCUUAAAACCCAAAGGAUUUGACGGUGUCCCACCCACCUAGAGGAGCCUGUUCUAUAAUCGAUAAUACCCGCUAUACCCAACCACCUCUUGCUAUUCAGUCUGUAUACCUCCGUCGAAAGCUUACCAUGUGAACGCCUACAGUGAGUACAAUUACCCCCAACGUCAACACGUCAGGUCAAGGUGCAGCUUAAGGGGUGGAAAGAAAUGGGCUACAAUUUCUAAUCUAGAACAAACGAAAGACUAUGUGAAAUCAUGGUACUGAAGGCGGAUUUAGCAGUAAAAAGAAAAUAGAGCGUUCUUUUUAACCUGGCUCUGGGACGCGUACACACCGCCCGUCACCCUCUUCAAUAGUAUCAUCACCAGUUCAUAACCAGUUUUUACAUCUUAGAAGAGGCAAGUCGUAACAUGGUAAGUGUACUGGAAAGUGCACUUGGAAUAUAA
rnacentral:ncRNA from 1 species